GAUGAGAACGUAGCGAAAUGCGAUAAGUAGUGUGAAUUGCAGAAUUCAGUGAAUCAUCGAAUCUUUGAACGCACAUUGCGCCCUUUGGUAUUCCUUAGGGCAUGCCUGUUCGAGCGUCAUUUAAACCUUCAAGCUCAGCUUGGUGUUGGGUGACUGUCCGCUUCACCGCGGACUCGCCUCAAAAUUAUUGGCGGCCGGUACAUUGGCUUCGAGCGCAGCAGAAACGCGAACUCGGGCCCGUCGUAUUGGCUCCCAGAAGCUAUCUUCACAAUUUUGACCUCGGAUCAGGUAGGGAUACCCGCUGAACUUAAGCAUAUCAAUAAGCGGAGGA
rnacentral:misc_RNA from 1 species